rnacentral:lncRNA from 1 species
GAUCCCCUGCGGAGGAGGAGGAGCUGCUUAGCAAUAGUAAGAUAUGCUUGUAAUUAAAUCUGUUCAAUUCUCAUGCUAAUUAGGGAAUGGGAUUAGCACCCUAGUAUUUUGUUUUCCUACUCGAUUAGACGAUGCUCCUUGACCCGAAUGAGAGGGGUGCUCAGCUCAAUUUGGUUGGUCUUUUGUGAUGUUAUCCAAUUGCGUGUAGAAAUCCCAUCUUUAUGCUAUGAAAAACUUACUACUCACACUCUAAAGACAGAGUAUACAUUAGUGUUCUAAGGUUAUAUUGCACUUGAGCAUUUGUGCUCUAAGUUGAUUUACCAGAUGACGGCAUCAGUUUCAGCUGAUUUUGUAGCUUCAUUCAUGCCUUCCAUUGGGCACUGAUCUGUCUGCAGUCUCCACUGCAUUUUACUAGCAGCAGUUUUGGCCUUGUGAGGUCUGAGCUAUCAAAUAUUCGAAUGCCUUAACUUUUCUGGCUAAUCUAAUAGCCUAGGAGUAUCACCCUGUUUACACAUUUAGAAGAUUUUUGCAAUUAGACGAUUCCUGAGAGAGCAAAGAGUGAGUUGAGAGAGAUGGAGGGGGGGGGAGAGAGAGAUCAUGGGAGGAAAGGAGAAAGGACGAGGAAGGCUUGUCGGUGGUUGGUUCUUCGGCGGCACUGGAUCGGGUCACACACGCAGAGGUCCUGCUCGAGGACGCGAAGAUCCAGGGAGGCACUCUCCCGUUCAGUUACCCUUACCGGUUCCUAGGUGCAGCCCCGGCCACCAUGGCAUGAACAGUGCGGAUGCGUGCUUCUCGAAGGAGGGCCAUGCCGCCGCAGGUGAAAGUGAAUCCCCUUCCGGGCCAGCGGACGUAACAUGGUAAGAACGCUGACACAGAUAUUCAGUUUUUGUUUGGUUAGGUAGGGUGUGUUCGUUGGAUGGACAGCCAUUCUUAUUUAGUCUCUCUGUUUUCUCUUAUGCCUUGGUCAUUCAGGUUGGUUUUCAUGGGACUAACUCGCAUUCAUGGCCGAAAGUAUAAGUCUUUGUGUUGAGAAUAGUUGACGUGGGUCAUAAAUUAAACAAUUACUCGUGUAAUAGGCUAUGCUUACCGCGUGUGAUAAUUUUUCUUCUUCCGGUGCAACGCAAGGACAUUUUUGCUAUAAUAAUAAUNNNNNNNNUAAUGAAGCAGGUAUCGCUUCUGGCCCUCACCGUU